rnacentral:lncRNA from 10 species
GUGCUGGGAUUACAGGCUUGAGCCACCGUGCCCAGCCUGUACUAUAUAUUUCUUUAUUAUUUGACACGUGUAUUUGUUUAAUGGCCCUCUGCUCCACCAGUAUGGAAGCUCCAAAAGGAAAGAUACCAGAUUGAUCUUGAUCACCUCUGCCUCCCCAGCACCUAGUCUUCCUUGGCACAUCGUGAGUGCUCGGUAAAUAUCUGUGGCUUUAAUGGAUGAAUGAAUGAAUGACUACAUGGCUAAACUCCAUUCUAGGGCAACAUCUGUGGUGCAGUGGAUGGGCCCUAGUGAAUGGAUAUUUAACGGAUAUCGUACUAUUCCUCAUCUCCACAGGGUCAGGCUGUGCCACAUCCACCCAGCCUUGCCUGGGGUCAUUUAUCCUACAUGUACUCAGAUCACGUGAACUGGUGAUGGGCCACCCAUGUGCCUGCCUGGAGACUCCUAUUCACCCUUCAGAUCAAUAUCCCCCAAAUAAACUCCCAGUCACUCUGGCAUCCCAUGUUGCUUUGUGAUCUCUGCCUCUCUCUAGACCAUUUGGCUCCUAUGCACAGGCAGCUAUGUCUUUUUCAUAUUUGGGUCCCCAAAAUGCACAGUGCGGUGCCUGCCUCAAAACAAAUGCUUUUCAAUCCGUCAAUCAAUCAGUUGACAUGGAUCAUCUUUUCUCAGCACUGAUGUAUGGACUACAACUUGGAAUUCCAUUAAAG